CUUGAGCGAGCCCAGCCGCAGCGGGUCGUCGGGGGUGCGCGCCCGCCCGUAGGUGGCGAUGAGCGCCUCGGCCUC
rnacentral:antisense_RNA from 1 species